rnacentral:rRNA from 1 species
AACGUAGGAUCCGAGCGUUGUCCGGAAUCACUGGGUGUAAAGGGUGCGUAGGCGGGCUUGCGCGUCAAGGGUUAAAGACCUCGGCUCAACCGAGGGAAUGCCCUUGAUACGGCAGGUCUUGAGUGCAGGGGAGGAUGGUGGAAUUCCUGGUGUAGCGGGGAAAUGCGUAGAGAUCAGGAGGAACACCAAAGGCGAAGGCAGCCAUCUGGACCGCCACUGACGCUGAGGCACGAAAGCGUGGGGAGCAAACAGG